UCUGUAGGUUGCCUACCAAGUCUGCUGUUAAAGAUCAGGGCCUAACCCUGGGAAAGCAGUGGAAACUAGUAGGCUUGAGUGUGGUAGAGGUAGAGGGAAUUCCUGGUGUAGCGGUGAAAUGCGUAGAUAUUAGGAAGAACACCAAUGGCGAAAGCACUCUACUGGGCCACAACUGACACUGAGAGACGACAGCUAGGGGAGCAAAUG
rnacentral:rRNA from 1 species